rnacentral:lncRNA from 1 species
UCCUUUAUAAACUUGACACUGACUACUUCUGGCAACGAGGUUUUUUCCAGAGAAACCUUCAGUGGCGAUUGUUAGUUCUUGAUAAGUAAAUAUCCUUUGAAAUCUCUCAGUGCUGCUCGAAGAAAUUCCUAAAAUGGUAUUGGAAAAAUCAUUAUCAUUAUUUUUAAAAUAAAUUUGAAGGAAAAGCAAAUCAAAAUAUAAAUAACAAAAUACUUUCAAGUAGAAAAUAAAUUUUUUUCAUUUUUUUGCAUUUAUUCUGAAAUAUAAUUAUUUAAUUGAAUUAAAAAAUGAAUUAGAAUUUUGAAAUAUAUUUCAUAAAUGUCAUUUAAUUACCUUUAUUGAUAGUAAUGUGUGGCAAUUCGGUGUCAUUCUCCGUGCUGCCGUGUAAAUCCUUUAAAU